UUGCAGCCACAUCACGUUGGAACACCGGUUCCCGUACGAUCACCGAAGUUAAGCAAUGUCAAGCCUAGUCAGUACCUAGAUGGGUGACCACUUUGGAAUAUCAGGA